rnacentral:rRNA from 1 species
GUGCACCAGUCGCGAAACUUUACAAUGUGCGAAAGCACGAUAAGGGAACUCUGAGUGCCUCCUAAGGAGGCUGUUCAGGUGUCUAAAAGCACCUGAAGGAAGGGCUGGGUAAGACCGGUGCCAGCCGCCGCGGUAACACCGGCAGCCCAAGUGGUAGCCACGUUUAUUGGGUCUAAAGCGUCCGUAGCCGGCUGGGUAAGUUCCUUGGGAAAUUUGGCUGCUUAACAGUCAAGCUUUCAGGGAAUACUGCCCGGCUUGGGACCGGGAGAGGUCAGAGGUACUCCAGGGGUAGGGGUGAAAUCCAUUAAUCCUUGGGGGACCACCGGUAGCGAAGGCGUCUGACCAGACCGGGUCCGACGGUGAGGGACGAAGGCUAGGGGGCGCGAACCGGAUUAGAUA